CUUUAUCCAUUUUAUAUAUGGCAACUUUUUAAUACCAAAAUUGUGUUGGCUUAGUGGUAAGGAAAGAUUCAAUUUUGAGGUUGGUGAUUAUUCCCCAAAACGGAUACUUUAAGAGUAGGAAUCCCUCCGAACCCCCCCCCCCCCAUAUUGAAGAAUGAGAAAAAUCAAACUACUCUAUAAUCCGCCUUAAAGUCACCUUAUGGUAUAUUUUAAUAAAUAUUUAGUUUUUAACUUUUUACACACAUAAAAAUAAAUAUAAAAUCGUCAUAAACGUAUCGCGAAUAUCACAAAAAGUCAAAUAAGACAUACUCAGUUGUAGAGACGAAGUACUAGGGAUUUAGGAAGGAAUCGUACUCAAACGUACUAUAUAAUUGAACUAAACCAAAGCCUUUCUGAAAAGCUAAAACCCUCCGUAAAAAAAAUAAAAAAAUAUUAAUAAAAAAAAAAACUUCUCGAAGAAGCUAAAUCAAAGCUUCUCAAGGAAGUUAAAGCAAAAUUUAACUCCACUCCCAUUUCUAAAGUUGAUUAAAAUGUUCUCCUGAGUACGGAGUACUUUAUUUUACUCAAGGAAGCUUCUCAAAAAAGCUAAUUGCAGUUAAUUCUGUAAACUAUGCAGCUCUUUUAGAUGGCUUAUUCUGGAACUUGCGUCCUAGGAUUCUGUCAAUAGAGCUUAAUCUUUGUGCUCCUAAUUUUGUGAAGGAGUUACUGAAAUUUUUGGUGGCUGAAGAACCCAAUUGUUACUGCUCUUAGAAUCGUGAAUGUUGGCGUCACUCGUUGAAGGAUAUAAAGCUGAUUAGUAGUGUGAAAGGUGCUAAGCUCUUCCGGAUAUGCUGUGUUGUUGCUGCUCCCAUUCCCAAAGCUUUAUCAUAACCUGCGCUAUUGCCUUCCCAAUACACAGUUCGGCUCGCACCAGUACUAUUCAAGUCAUCAGGCAGGUCUUCCAGUUGUUACACAAUCUUCUGAAUUCAUUUGUAACUCACUAAAGAUAUUUUGUACAAUUAGAAGAUCCUUUUGAAUUGUUGGACACUAUCUACUGCUUGGUUUGUACUUAAACAGCUUUCGAAACCAAUAACUUUCCUAUAUAAAUACUUUGCUUUUUGUAACUUAAUGAUUU